CCUGCAGGAAACAAGACAGACAGUGGUGGCAAGGGCGCUUUCCCCCAGUCCAGCCCACUUCCCCGAGAGCCUCUGGACAUUUUUAUUUAGGGCACAAGCAUGUGAGAAAGCCUUCCUGGGUGGCAGGGUUGUGGUGGCGGUAGUGGCAUUUCCCUGCUUCAGUCCCAGGCAGGGACUGAGUGUCCAGGUGGUGAAACCCUGGCACCCCCAUGGAAGGCCCCAUAUCGAUGCGCACUACCCGAAGAGUGUUCUACACAUGCCGGUGUGACCAGCUCCGACUCCACAGACAACUUUUCGAUUCUAUCUGGGCUGAAUUUUCAAAGUAGUCCCCCACCCCCACCCCGCGCCAUCGAAGUGAAUUCCAGGAAGAUCCUACCAGUCAAAUCGUCCCGGAUACAGUUUGAUGAACAGGACGACUCACCAAUGAUCUAGGAACCCAUAUCCGUUCCUUAAAGCCGACUGUCUUCUUCCACUCUUAACGGUCCAAGACUACAUUACCCAGAAUGCAGAGGAAGCAGAUCCGCGCAACAAGGCACGCAUAAACUACAUUUCCCAGUAUGCCCAGGGACGCACUUCCUCUCUCCCCCGCCCCCAGCCCGGGCCGUGGUUCCCGGCCAGAAGUAGAGCUUUUGGUAAACAUAAGCAUCUGUUGAGGCUUGCCCUGUUCCAACUUCCCUGGGCCGCCGAGAAGCCUAAAAUUCUUGACCCUAUGCUGACCUCUGAUCCCAGGCUGAGUGCCACUGGAGGUCCCCACCUGCAGACCCCGCCCAGGCUUAACCCUUAGCACCAGCUGGGCCCUAAAUUCAAACUGAAACCCUGAUCUCGGCUCAUUUCAUUCCGAUCCUAGGCACCUCAACUCCAUCUUACACACCGCGUCCUCAUCGUCUACCGAGCCCCCAGAUCUGGAAGAGUCCCCGCUUCUGGACCCCUGUCGUAGUCUUCAGCUCUUAACUAGACUGCUGACCCUGGCGCUAAGCUUCCCACCCGGGUCGGAUACCUGAUUCCCAUCCGGCCUCUGACUCCUCCUCCACCUCCUCCCCCACUGCCCCGCUCGGCUUUGCAUCUGGGAGCUUAGCCCUGAAGCCGCCAGCAGCUAAAGCACCAGAAAGAUAUUUUGGCGUUUCUGCGGUAGCCGAGAAAGCACCUACGGCCCGGGCCUCUCCCUUUUCAUCUGGGAGUCUCAAG